UUUGAAGGUCUUCACACCAUCUACAAUUCAGUGAUAGCAACAUUCCGUAUUCCAAGUCACUUUCACUAUAUGUUGAAGUUCUCAGAUUUUCAAAUGACUGCACCAGUAAAAUGGACGCUGAGGUACUCACUACAAGUGGUAAAACGCGCUGGUAAAAUGGACACUGAGGUACUCACUACAAGUGGUAAAACGAGCCGGGAAAAUGGACACUGAGGUACUCACAAGUGGAUGGUAAAUGCGCCGGGAAAAUGGACGCUGAGGUACUCACUACAAGUGGAUGGUAAAUGUGCCGGGAAAAUGGACCCUGAGGUACUCACUACAAGUGGUAAAACGAGCUGGUAAAAUGGACGCUGAGGUACUCACUACAAGUGGUAAAACGCGCUGGUAAAAUGGACGCUGAGGUACUCACUACAAGUGGAUGGUAAAUGCGCCGGGAAAAUGGACGCUGAGGUACUCACUACAAGUGGAUGGUAAA